UACAGAAGCCUCAAGCGUUACCCGGAUUCACUGGGUUUAAAGGGUGCGUAGGCGGGCAGGUAAGUCAGUGGUGAAAUCUCCGAGCUUAACUCGGAAACUGCCGUUGAUACUAUUUGUCUUGAAUACUGUGGAGGUAAGCGGAAUAUGUCAUGUAGCGGUGAAAUGCUUAGAUAUGACAUAGAACACCAAUUGCGAAGGCAGCUUACUACACAGCGAUUGACGCUGAGGCACGAAAGCGUGGGGAUCAAACAGG
rnacentral:rRNA from 1 species